rnacentral:rRNA from 1 species
CUACGUGCCAGCAGCCGCGGUAAUACGUAGGGGGCAAGCGUUAUCCGGAUUUACUGGGUGUAAAGGGAGCGUAGACGGAAUGGCAAGUCUGAAGUGAAAUACCCGGGCUCAACCUGGGAACUGCUUUGGAAACUGUUGUUCUAGAGUGUUGGAGAGGUAAGUGGAAUUCCUGGUGUAGCGGUGAAGUGCGUAGAUAUCAGGAAGAACACCGGAGGCGAAGGCGGCUUACUGGACAAUAACUGACGUUGAGGCUCGAAAGCGUGGGGAUCAAACAGGAUUAGAUACCCUGGUAGUCCAUGCCGUAAACGUUGGGCACUAGGUGUGGGGGACAUUCCACGUUUUCCGCGCCGUAGCUAACGCAUUAAGUGCCCCGCCUGGGGAGUACGGCCGCAAGGCUAAAACUCAAAGAAAUUGACGGGGGCCCGCACAAGCGGCGGAGCAUGCGGAUUAAUUCGAUGCAACGCGAAGAACCUUACCAAGGCUUGACAU